UUGCCGGGUGUCCUUUCAUUAUUCCUCGUUCGACACGUUUUUACGACACGCAUUGACAUUGUUACGAGUACAUAGGAGCAAUAAUUCCCGGGUAUAUGGUCCAGUUUUUGCUACACUCGAGCGAUGCUGCCGGGGGAAGGGCGCCUAGCCUGGGAAAGAGGCUGAUAAAGCCACUUGAGUUUGAGUUCAUUUAGCCUCCAACACUCCAACCGCUGCGGGUUAUUUUCCAACGGGGUAAUUAGACUUUCUAACGAAUAACUGUUUAAAUAGAAAUUAAUUUUUCCAGCUUAAAUGGUCCAUCUGAUGACUUGGGCACAACUCUGCUGCAUCGAGAUGUCGUACCCAUCAUGGAAGUACUUGAUUAUUCUCGUCCUGGGGUCCAAUUGGAAUAAAUAAAUUCCACCAACAAAUUAUUGAUAUUUAAAUAAUAUCGUUGAUUACUUGGGUAUAAUUACUGUGUCAUCAGACUGAUUACACAGAAUUCAGGACUUUUGUACUCGUCGGUGUCCGCUUCAGGUGGUACGGGGUACGUGCAGCAUGAUUUGAUAUCUUCUCAAAAGAGCACAUGGCCACUGAGACGCGUUUGGAGUUGAUUCUUCCUCUCUGUUCUCUAAAUAUGACGAAUGGUGUGCACAUGGAAGCAGUGUAAUAACUAAUUACCCGCGUAUCCAAGUGCUGUAGCAAGUACGAUCCAUCCGACAGCCACUGCAAACGCGGUUCUAUGAAAUCCUGCGUAGAAGGCAGCCUCCACCCCAUCAUAUUUGUGAUCGUCG